GACGAACGCUGGCGGCGUGCUUAACACAUGCAAGUCGAACGGAAAGGCCCUGCUUUUGUGGGGUGCUCGAGUGGCGAACGGGUGAGUAACACGUGAGUAACCUGCCCUUGCCUUUGGGAUAACUUCAGGAAACUGGGGCUAAUACCGGCUAGGAGCUCCUGCUGCAUGGUGGGGGUUGGAAAGUUUCGGCGGUUGGGGAUGGACUCGCGGCUUAUCAGCUUGUUGGUGGGGUAGUGGCUUACCAAGGCUUUGACGGGUAGCCGGCCUGAGAGGGUGACCGGCCAAAUUGGGACUGAGAUACGGCCCAGACUCGUACGGGAGGCAGCAGUGGGGAAUAGUGCACAAUGGGAGGAAGCCUGAUGCAGCAACGCCGCGUGCGGGAUGACGGCCAUGGGGUUGUAAACCGAUGUCGCCUGUGACGAAGCGUGAGUGACGGUAAUGGGUAAAGAAGCACCGGCUAACUACGUG
rnacentral:rRNA from 1 species